rnacentral:rRNA from 1 species
GAGUUUGAUCCUGGCUCAGGACGAACGCUGGCGGCGUGCUUAACACAUGCAAGUCGAACGGUAAGGCCCCAGCUUGCUGGGGUACACGAGUGGCGAACGGGUGAGUAACACGUGGGUGACCUGCCCCGCACUUCGGGAUAAGCCUGGGAAACUGGGUCUAAUACCGGAUAGGACCGCACCGUGAGGGUGUGGUGGAAAGUUUUUCGGUGUGGGAUGGGCCCGCGGCCUAUCAGCUUGUUGGUGGGGUAGUGGCCUACCAAGGCGGCGACGGGUAGCCGGCCUGAGAGGGUGGACGGCCACAUUGGGACUGAGACACGGCCCAGACUCCUACGGGAGGCAGCAGUGGGGAAUAUUGCACAAUGGGCGGAAGCCUGAUGCAGCGACGCCGCGUGGGGGAUGACGGCCUUCGGGUUGUAAACUCCUUUCACCAUCGACGAAGGUUUUCUGACGGUAGAUGGAGAAGAAGCACCGGCUAACUACGUGCCAGCAGCCGCGGUAAUACGUAGGGUGCGAGCGUUGUCCGGAAUUACUGGGCGUAAAGAGCUCGUAGGUGGUUUGUCGCGUCGUCUGUGAAAUUCCGGGGCUUAACUCCGGGCGUGCAGGCGAUACGGGCAUAACUUGAGUACUGUAGGGGAGACUGGAAUUCCUGGUGUAGCGGUGAAAUGCGCAGAUAUCAGGAGGAACACCGGUGGCGAAGGCGGGUCUCUGGGCAGUAACUGACGCUGAGGAGCGAAAGCAUGGGUAGCGAACAGGAUUAGAUACCCUGGUAGUCCAUGCCGUAAACGGUGGGCGCUAGGUGUAGGGGUCUUCCACGACUUCUGUGCCGUAGCUAACGCAUUAAGCGCCCCGCCUGGGGAGUACGGCCGCAAGGCUAAAACUCAAAGGAAUUGACGGGGGCCCGCACAAGCGGCGGAGCAUGUGGAUUAAUUCGAUGCAACGCGAAGAACCUUACCUGGGCUUGACAUAUACGGGACCGGGCCAGAGAUGGUCCUUCCCUUGUGGCUCGUAUACAGGUGGUGCAUGGUUGUCGUCAGCUCGUGUCGUGAGAUGUUGGGUUAAGUCCCGCAACGAGCGCAACCCUUGUCUUAUGUUGCCAGCACGUAAUGGUGGACUGCCGGGGUCAACUCGGAGGAAGGUGGGGAUGACGUCAAAUCAUCAUGCCCCUUAUGUCCAGGGCUUCACACAUGCUACAAUGGUCGGUACAGUGGGUUGCGAUGCCGUGAGGUGGAGCUAAUCCCUGAAAGCCGGUCUCAGUUCGGAUCGGGGUCUGCAACUCGACCCCGUGAAGUCGGAGUCGCUAGUAAUCGCAGAUCAGCGACGCUGCGGUGAAUACGUUCCNCGGGCCCUUGUACACACCGCCC